ensembl:lncRNA novel transcript, antisense to NUDT4
GGGACUGGCGCUGGAGCCCAGCGUGGGAUGACCGUGCCCCGAAAACAUGCCAGUGAAUGGAAAGAAGCCAAGGUCCCCUCCCUCCCUGCUUAUACCCUCAACUUUGCCAAUGAGGACCCUAAAUACCAGCUGCACUACAGGGGAUGUAACUACAUACACCGUCACCAAAGUUGCAGCCUGGCCAAGAAAUGCCAGGGGACGUCGCGGCGAUUGCAGACUCCGCGGUGACUGUGUAGAUACGUCCAGAAUUCGCCCUUGUAGCGCGGGGAGAGGCGAGAGUGAAGGCCUAGAAAAGUUAAGACGUUAACUGUUUUUUUUUUCUUUGUUUUCACAAAUGGGGGGUAGGCAAAUUUCCUUUUUUUUUUUUUGUAUUUAAAUUUUUAAUCUUUGGUUGGGGAUGGCUUGUAUUAUUUAAAGAGUCAACUCUAGCUUAAACGUUUCUUUGAAGCUGUCUAUAACAUCCCCCACUUUGUGCCACCUUCCGGAAAGUAUUAAUACUGGCAAUGGCUAAUAGUUGCGAAAUGGUUUUCAUGUGGAUCUCAUGCUAAGUAACAGCGCAGCUGGAUGCUGGGGCCACAGCACUAAAAUAUAAUGGGAUUUCUGCUAUCUGGGAGCUUACAGUACCUUGGGGACUUGGAACAAACAACCUCUACACUUCAGAGUGUUAGAAGGGCUAAGAUAGGAGCCAGGAGGCCUGAUCUUAAGGUAGCUCGAGAAACCCAAACUCAGGCCAUUCUGCCCUUCCACAGAGGCCCAGGUUGCUUGGGUCCUGACUUGGUUGGUUGGUUUUUCACCCCUUGAGGGCCUAUUGUGUGUCAGGCACUGGCAUCUAACAAAACCAGUCAGCCCCUGCCUCUCCAGGAGCGUAGGCACCUGAGAGCACACCGUCAAAUAUUAAAUGAUCACACGUGUACACGUAAAACUACAAAUGUAAUGGGCUCUAAGGUUUCAGACAAAGAUUUGACCAGAUCUGCAGUCAGAAAAAGAUUAUUGGGGCAGCAAGGCAGGAGCUGAGGGCUGAAGGAGGAGGAGCUAAAUUGACCAAGAGCUUUCAAGGCAAAGGGAACUGGGAUUUCUGCAGAGCCCAAAGUGGGAGGGAGUGAGGAGAGUUCUCAGAAAUGAAAGAAAAGGCCAGUGUGGCUGCAGAGCGGAGGCAAGCUGGUUCCGCCUCUGGCAGAGGGGCCUGUGAGGCCUGACUGAGAGGCUGGGGACCACUGGAGAGCUCAGAGCAGGCACUGGUCUUUCUAGUCUCCAACCUCCUUUAGAUUUGGGACUGCUGCAUCUAACUCAUCUUGUUACUCCCAGAGCCCAGCAGAUGUAAGUUUGUAGAAUGGGUUAGUGUUGAAUAAAUAAUUUAAGGAAUGAGGCUUCACCACAAUUAGAAAUCUUAUCAAGACUGCGCAGAGAUGUUUUCCAAGCCAUUGAUUUCUUAUUGAAGGCACUUGAAAUUUAACUAUGUCCAGGAUUUACAAACACAGGCAGAAAACAUCUAGCUGGGGAGUCCGCUAUGGCUAAUAUGUGAUUAUUAUUUUUGGAUAAUUGGUUCACAUCAAUAAAGUUAUUAAUCCUGGCUUGGUUGCACAGGCUAGAGUGCAAUGGUGCUGUUUCAGCUCACUGCAGCCUCCAUUUCCCAGGCUCAAGGGAUUCUCCGGCCUCAGCCUCCUGAGUACCUGUAACCACCACAGUUGCAUGCCACCAUGCCUGGUUAAUUUGUGGAUUUUUUUAGUAGAGGUGGAGUUUCACCAUGUUGCCCAGGCUGGUCUCGAACUCCUGAGCUCAGGCGAUCUGCCCACCUCAGCCUCCCAACGUGCUGGGAUUACAGGCGUGAGCCACUGCACCCUCCUCACUAUGGUCUUUUUUAUUUUUUACUUUUAUUUGUUUUAUUGUGGCCUUUUAAAUGACAAAGAGAUUCCAUUUCCUUUGUUUAAAACCCUUCAAAGUUCUGGUUUCUAGUUGUUGCUCAAUAAAUACUAGUUGGCUGAA